CCCCCUAAACCCCCCAAAAUCCCUUCUAUACCCCCCAUUUCCACCAUCAAUCCCCCAUAACAUGCUGUUAUUUAACCCAUCCUUUUCCCCCCCCCCAUAUACAGGUAUUAAGGAGCUGGGAUACGGGUUACCCUAAACGUAGCGCGGGCGAAUCCUUCCUCAUCUGCGGGACUCUUUACGUCACCAAUUCUCACCUGGCUGGAGCUAAAAUCUAUUUCGCUUAUCACACGUCGACUUCGAGUUACGAAUACACGGACAUCCCCUUCCAUAAUCAAUACUCUCAUAUCUCCAUGCUGGACUAUAACCCACGCGAGAGGGUCCUUUAUACCUGGAAUAACGGGCAUCAAGUGCUCUAUAACGUCACCCUAUUUCACGUCGUCGAGACGGAUGGGGAGAUCUGAGCCUUCCUGACCCUCGUUCAUGGUCUGCUCUGUGCUGCUGUGUCGCAUUGGGAGCCUUCAUCCUCCUCUUCCUCACUUAUUGCACAUUGGGGUUCCAUCAUGUCAUGCUUUAAGCCCUAACCUUUUCCUAUCUGCCUUCGUGCCAUGGUUGGAGCCUUCAUCCUCCUCUUCCUCCAUUGGUUUUGCACAUUGGGGUUCCAUCAUGUCACGCACUGAGUCCCAGCUCCCUUCUCUUUGUCUUUGUGCCAUGAUUGGAGCCUUCCUCCUCCUCCUCUUCCUCACAUUUGCCUUCGUGCCACGGUUGGAGCCGCCUUCUUCCUCCUCCUUCCUCCUCCUCUUCCUCUUCCUCCUCUUCUUCUUCCUCCUCCUCUUCUUCUUCCUCUUCUUCCUCCUCCUCCUCCUUCCUCGUCCCUUCCUCUUCCUCUUCCUCCUUCUCUUCCUCUUCUUCCUCUUCUUCCCUUCCUCUUCCUCUUCCUCCUCCUCUUUCUCUUCCCUUCCCCUUCCUCUUCCUCCUCCUCUUCCUCUUCCUCUUCCUCCUCCUUUUCCUCUUCCCCUUCCUCCUCCUCUUCCUCCUCGUCCUCCUCUUCCUCCUCCUCUUCCUCUUCCUCCUCCUCCUCUUCCUCCUUCUGACUUGCGGAAUCAAACUCUAUAAUCCAGAGAUGGGUUAUAAAGCAGGUAUGUUUAUUCCAGCGUUGCGCAGCGCCGGGUGCAAGGGGGAUAGCUCCACCAAACUUGCACACCGUAAAGAGAAAAGUGUGUUACAGAUAUAGGUUAAGCUAAUACAUAAUCAAUAGUCUCCUCCUCAGUUUGAUUACAU
rnacentral:lncRNA from 1 species